UAUCUGAAGUUACAUGAUAUAAUGAUACAUGAUAUGUACACACUAUGCUGUUACAGCAACAAGACACAUGUUAACUGUACAUCCUGCCAAAUCAAGCAAACACCGCUAUCUUACUGAUCUCAACUUUGAUAACAUUGUUCCACAGCCAAAUGAAUGUUAUGAUAACAAACAUGACUGAUGAAUAAUGUCACAAGAGUAAACUGGGUGUGGGAAAACAUACACACUAUUGUCUCAACUAUCAUGUUCACCAAUUGGGAAUCCACACAGACGUCCACACCUCUGCUUACGCUGACUGCUCGUCUGAAAUCCGACAUACUAUACAGUCUGACCGGGACCAGGAGUUUCCCCAACCACUGCUUGUGUGUGUGUGUGUGUGUGUGUGUGUGUGUGUGUGUGUGUGUGUGUGUGUGUGUGUGUGUGUGUGUGUGUGUGUGUGUGUGUGUGUGUGUGUGUGUGUGUGUGUGCGUGUGCGUGCGUGGACGUGUUUAACUAUUCUUGACCUUCCGAAUACUGCCCCCUAGCCCUAAGAAGUUUUAAACACCACAUACUGUAACACCUACUUACUGUAGGCUAUAUCAUAGAAACCAAAAGCUAUUUCCAUGUGAAAAUGUUCUGGUAUUUGCUCAAUUGGCUUUGUUGGUACACCCACAUUAUGCUCAAAUAGUUCAGUCAACACACUCUGUGUUGUGACUUCUGUAUACCCUCUAUGUUGUGACUGCUGUAUAUCCUCUGUGUUGACUGCUGUAUAUCCUCUGUGUUGACUGCUGUAUACCCUCUGUGUUGUGACUGCUGUAUACCCUCUGUGUUGUGACUGCUGUAUACUCUCUGUGUUGUGACUGCUGUAUACCCUCUGUGUUGUGACUGCUGUAUACCCUCUGUGUUGUGACUGCUGUAUACCCUCUGUGUUGUGACUGCUGUAUAUCCUCUGUGUUGACUGCUGUAUACCCUCUGUGUUGUGACUGCUGUAUACCCUCCAUGUUGUGACUGCUGUAUACCCUCUGUGUUGUGACUGCUGUAUACCCUCUGUGUUGUGACUGCUGUAUACCCUCUGUGUUGUGACUGCUGUAUACCCUCUGUGUUGUGACUGCUGUAUACCCUCUGUGUUGUGACUGCUGUAUACCCUCUGUGUUGUGACUGCUGUAUACCCUCUGUGUUAACUGCUGUAUACCCUCUGUGUUGUGAAUGCUGUAUACCCUCUGUGUUAACUGCUGUAUACCCUCUGUGUUGUGAAUGCUGUAUACCCUCUGUGUUAACUGCUGUAUACCCUCUGUGUUGUGACUGCUGUAGACCCUCUGUGUUGUGACUGCUGUAGACCCUCUGUGUUGUGACUGCUGUAUACCCUCUGUGUUAACUGCUGUAUACCCUCUGUGUUGUGAAUGCUGUAUACCCUCUGUGUUAACUGCUGUAUACCCUCUGUGUUGUGAAUGCUGUAUACCCUCUGUGUUAACUGCUGUAUACCCUCUGUGUUGUGACUGCUGUAUACCCUCUGUGUUGUGACUGCUGUAUACCCUCUGUGUUGUGACUGCUGUAGACCCUUUGUGUUGUGACUGAAACCAUAUACAGUUGAAGUCAGAAGUUUACAUACACCUUAGGUUGGAGUCAUUAAAACUCGUUUUUCAACCACUCCACAAAUGUCUUGUUAACAAACUAUAGUUUUGGCAAGUCGGUUAGGACAUCUUGAAGCAACAUCUCAGUCAGGAAGUUAAAGCUUGGUCGCAAAUGGGUCUUCCAAAUGGACAAUGACCCCAAGCAUACUUCCAAAGUUGUGGCAAAAUGGCUUAAGGACAACAAAGUCAAGGUAUUGGAGUCGCCAUCACAAAGCCCUGACCUCAAUCCCAUAGAAAAUUUGUGGGCAGAACUGAAAAAGCAUGUGCGAGCAAGGAGGCCUACAAACCUGACUCAGUUACACGAGCUCUGUCAGGAGGAAUGGGCCAAAAUUCACCCAACUUAUUGUGGGAAGCUUGUAGAAGGCUACCCUAAACGUUUGACCCAAGUUAAACAAUUUAAAGGCAAUGCUACCAAAUACUAAUUGAGUGUAUGUAAACUUCUGACCCACUGGGAAUGUGAUGAAAGAAUUAAAAGCUGAAAUAAAUCAUUCUCUCUGCUAUUAUUCUGACAUUUCACAUUGUUAAAAUCAAGUGGUGAUCCUAACUGACCUAAGACAUUUUUACUAGGAUUAAAUGUCAGGAAUUGUUACAAACUAAAUGUAUUUGGCUAAGGUGUAUGUAAACGUCCGACUUCAACUGUAAGUUAAACCUUCUUAUCUCUACAUUGAUUCUCUGAUUCUCUGGGUGGGACACGCCGUGGGGAGAUGCCCCUCCUUUUCUUCUCAUCGUCACUGCAGUGUGACUUCCUUUUAUGCAUAUGUGAAUCUCUGAGGGAGGUGGAGGAGAGCCCCCUCCUUACCUCGAUGAUACACCCAGGAAACAAUGCCCCCUGCCAGGGCCCCAUCCUGCCAGGGCCCCAUCCUGCCAGGGACCCAUCCUGCCAGGGCCCAUUCCUGCCAGGGCCCCAUCCCACCAGGGCAACAUCCUGCCAGGGUCCCAUCCUGCCAGGGCCCCAUCCUGCCAGGGACCCAUCCUGCCAGGGCCCCAUCCCGCCAGGGCCCCAUGCCCCCUGCCAAGGCCCCUUGCUUGAAGGGGGAUGGGUGUGUCAGGCAGGUGUCACUGAAUGCACGAUGGAUAGGCUUCUUUCCUGCUGGGACAGGUCGAUUUUAUUAUUUGUAAAUAUUUAGUAAAUGCUUUAGUGCGUUAGUCUGCCGGCAUUGUGACAGGGACAUUUUUUUUUAAAGGUAAGGUCAUGACAGAUACUCCAACCUAUAAUAUCACUCAUACUGUCAUGGCCAUGGUUUUAUCCAUAUAGACCUAUUCUAGAUGACUAGACUACACUUAGUCAGUAACAGAUGUAAUAAUCUAACAAAUUAUUAACCUCCUGCUACGUAAAUUCCAAUAUUUCACCACAUUUAUGACUACCAUUGUUUAAGCUCUUACGGUCAUAGUCGUAGGAUUUGUCUUUACAACACAAACAGAUCUGGGACAAGGUCUGAGUUUGUCCCAAUGAGAUUGGGUACCUGGCAUGUCACAUGGCUGUGUCUGCUUUGCCAAGACUGUAGAACAAUACGGGGCUUUGUUCCUGUGGUGAGUGUCACCACCUCCCAGGAAGUAGCCAACCUGGUGCUUCUAGCCUGGUCUCAGAUCUGUUUGUGCUGUCUUGUCCAGCUCCUAUACAACGACCACAGGAGUUGACAAAACAGCACAAACAGAUCGGGGAGCAGGCUAUUGUAAAUGUUCUAUGGUCACAAGACGCAGGCCUCCUAAUUGUCCCUAGAAUUUCUAAGCAAACAGCUGAAGGCAGGGCUUUCUCCUAUAGAGCUCCAUUUUUAUGGAAUGGUCUGCCUAUCCAUGUGAGAGACGCAAACUCGGUCUCAACCUUUAAGUCUUUACUGAAGACUCAUCUCUUCAGUAGGUCCUAUGAUUGAGUGUAGUCUGGCCCAGGAGUGUGAAGGUGAACGGAAAGGCUCUGGAGCAACGAACCGCCCUUGCUGUCUCUGACUGGCCGGUUCCCCUCUCUCCACUGGGAUUCUCUGCCUCUAACCCUAUUACAGGGGCUGAGUCACUGGCUUACAGGUGUUCUUCCAUGCCGUCCCUAGGAGGGGUGCGUCACUUGAGUGGGUUGAGUCACUGACGUGGUCUUCCUGUCUGGGUUGGCGACCCCCCCUUGGGUUGUGCCGUGGCGGAGAUCUUUGUGGGCUAUACUCGGCCUUGUCUCAGGAUGGUAAGUUGGUGGUUGAAGAUAUCCCUCUAGUGGUGUGGGGGCUGUGCUUUGGCAAAGUGGGUGGGGUUAUAUCCUGCCUGUUUGGCCCUGUCCGGGGGUAUCAUCGGAUGGGGUCACAGUGUCUCCUGACCGCUCCUGUCUCAGCCUCCAGUAUUUAUGCUGCAGUAGUUUAUGUGUCGGGGGGCUAGGGUCAGUCUGUUAUAUCUGGAGUAUUUCUCCUGUCUUAUCUGGUGUCCUGUGUGAAUUUAAGUAUGCUCUCUCUCUUUCUCUCUCUCGGAGGACCUGAGCCCUAGGACCAUGCCCCAGGACUACCUGGCAUGAUGACUCCUUGCUGUCCCCAGUCCACCUGGCCAUGCUGCUGCUCCAGUUUCAACUGUUCUGCCUGCGGCUAUGGAACCCUGACCUGUUCACCGGACGUGCUACCUGUCCCAGACCUGCUGUUUUCAACUCUCUAGAGACAGCUCUUAUUUGACCAUGCUGGUCAUUUAUGAACAUUUGAACAUCUUGGCCAUGUUCUGUUAUAAUCUCUACCCGGUACAGCCAGAAGAGGACUGGCCACCCCUCAUAGCCUGGUUCCUCUCUAGGUUUCUUCCUGGGUUUUGGCCUUUCUAGGGAGUUUUUCCUAGCCACCGUGCUUCUACACCUGCAUUACUUGCUGUUUGGGGUUUUAGGCUGGGUUUCUGUACAGCACUUAUAUCAGCUGAUGUAAGAAGGGCUAUAUAAAUGCAUUUGAUUUGAUUUGAUUAGAAAAGAGAGGGACUGAGUUCAUUCACAACACACUGUAGAAAGGAGAGGGACUGAGUUCAUUCACAACACACUGUAGAAAGGAGAGGGACUGAGUUCAUUCAGACACUGUCUGCUAUCCGCCCGGUACAAUUUAAACCGGGAUUGAUCUAUGAAGAAUCACACUUCUCCAGCGUGCCAGUGGCCACCGAAGGUGAACAUUUGCCCACUGAAGUCGGUUACGACGCCGAACGGCAGUCAGGUCAAGAUCCUGGUGAGGACGACGAGCACGCAGAUGUGCUUGUUGACCAGUAAGGGUUAUUAAGAAGGUAGGGGCAGAUAUUGUUGAGCGGUUGUCAUACCGCUGAUAAUAAAAGUUGAUCAGGUGACCUGAAACACCUUGGAAAACCCUGGUCUAGAGGAGGAUGAUCUGGCCAAUCAGCGGUCUACUCUCAUGAAUAUUUUGAACGACUGGUAUACGCCCACAACAUUCCAACACAUAAAAUCUGCUUUUUAACAUACAAUAAAAGUUAAAUGGUAAUUAAGUAAUUAAUUAUAGGUAAUAUUUCAUAGAAAUCUGGAAACACUGGACAGUAGCUUCGGGGUGGCAGGUAGCCUAGCGGUUAGCGCGUUGGGCCAGUAACCAAAAGGUUGCAAGAUCAAAUCCCUGAGCUGACAAGGUAAAAAUCUGUUGUUCUGCCCCUGAACAAGUCAGUUAACCCACGGUUCCUAGGCUGUCAUUGUAAAUAAGAACUGGUUCUUAACAGACUUGCCUAGUUAAAUAAAGGUCAAAUAAAAAUACAUCUGAAUGGAAUGACAGCAAGAAUAAGACAACCCCUGAAGGUGACAAGUCAAACCUCAAUGAUGAGAUCAGAGGAUUUAACAAACUGAAGUCAACUGAGGACAUUCAGUUGUUUUCUUUCUCAAUUUCCACCCUUGUCUCCCACAGUCAUCUGCCCCCUUGUGGCCGGCUUGGGAACAGCUUGGAUCUUCUUGUCCCAUGAGUGACCUUUGAGCGCUGCUGGACUUCCAGCACAAGAACUUCACAUGUCCACUUGAUGAGGACUCAGUUAACUGGAGCCUUUACCCAUGAUAUAAACCACAGAGCCAGUCUAAAACCCAUGAUAUAAACCACAGAGCCAGUCUAAAACCCAUGAUGCAAUAGAGAACAAUAAAAUAAACACCUAUUAAACACAUCUCUGUCCA
rnacentral:lncRNA from 1 species